GACGAACGCUGGCGGCGUGCUUAACACAUGCAAGUCGAACGGAAAGGCCUGCUUUCCCUUGUGGUUUGCGGGUACUCGAGUGGCGAACGGGUGAGUAACACGUGAGUGAUCUGCCCCCAACUUGGGUAUAAGCCUGGGAAACUGGGUCUAAUUCCCGAUAGGACUGCAGGGUGGUGCCUGUGGUGGAAAACGAUUUGCUAGUGGUUGGGGAUGAGCUCGCGGCCUAUCAGCUUGUUGGUGGGGUAAUGGCCUACCAAGGCGGCGACGGGUAGCCGGCCUGAGAUGGUGGACGGUGACAUUGGGACUGGGUUACGGCCCAGACUCCUGCGGGCGGCAGCAGUGGGGAGUAUUGGACAAUGGGCGGAAGCCUGAUGCAGCGACGCCGCGUGGGGGGUGACGGCCUUCGGGUUGUAAACUCCUUUCGACCGCGAGGAAGCCACCUGGUUGGAAGGGUGGUGACGGUAGUGGUAGAAGAAGCACCGGCUAACUACGUG
rnacentral:rRNA from 1 species